GCCGAAGUGGUGAAAUCGGUAGACACGCUGGACUCAAAAUCCAGUUACCGCAAGGUAGUGUGGGUUCGAGUCCCACCUUCGGCA
rnacentral:tRNA from 1 species